rnacentral:rRNA from 1 species
UACGGAGGGAGCAAGCGUUACUCGGAAUUAUUGGGCGUAAAGGGCGCGUAGGCGACUCAAUAAGUCUUGUGUGAAAGCCCAUGGCUUAACCAUGGAAGUGCACAAGAUACUGCUGAGUUUGAGUUCAGGAGAGGAAAGCAGAAUUCCCGGUGUAGCGGUGAAAUGCGUAGAGAUGCGGAGGAACACCGAUGGCGAAGGCAGCCCCCUGGGCUGACACUGACGCUCAGGCACGAAAGCGUGGGGAGCAAACAGG